GCUUACAAAACAUGGAACAUGGGGAGAUUCUGAUCAUUUAUUUUUAUAUUACAACUCCCAGAACACCAAUGGAGAGAACUGGCUACAGGAUUCUAUGAGUAGUGGUCCAAAAAGAAAGUAAGUUUUCCUGGCUUUGGGGGAGACAUCAGCAGCCUGGUAUCCUUUGUGGGGGUAACAAGCUAAGCAGGCCCUUAGAGCCAGCGUUCAGUCAUAAAACACUUUAAGUCAGCCUCUGCUCUGGGAAUAUCAUGACUCGAUGCGAGGAAGGAACUCAUUUUUUUAACAAAUGAUCAUCUUAGAACUGCAAAGCUGGAAGGGGACCCUUUGGGUCAUCAAGCCGAGCCCAUGUCAAGAAAGCACGACAGGAAUCGAACUCCCAACCCUAACCACUGAGCUAUCCAGCAGUUGAGAAUACUAGAUUGGAUGAAGUUGGGAACUAAGGAGGAAGAAGAGCAGCAGUAGGCAGAGCAAGGAGGUAUCCUCUUUCCCCGAAAAUAAGACCUAACCUGAAAAUAAGCCGCAGUAUGAUUUUUCAAGAUGCUCGUAA